ensembl:lncRNA
GGAUGAAGGCAGAGUCAGGGGAAGAGGAAUUCGAGUCAGAGGAGGGAGAAGAGCUGGCCAUGGAAGAAGAGGAGCAGGCCAACGAGGAAGAGGAGUUCAAAUCAGAGGAGGAAGAGGAGCAGGCCAACAAGGGAGAGGAGUUCAAAUCAGAGGAGGAAGAGGAGCAGGCCAACAAGGGAGAGGAGAAGGUCCAGGAGGGAGAGCAAGACAACCUCGCACCAUCAUUACGGACGAGAUGCGAGCAACAGUCAUUGACCAUGUCAUUGUCCAUGGCAUGACAAUGGCUGAAGCAGGACUAUGAGUCCGUCCAAACCUGAGUAGGUUCACCGUGGCCACCAUUAUCAGGGCAUUCAGACAACACAACAGAGUUGAAAGAAUGCCACAUAGAGGUGGGAGGGUUGCCAUAUUUACAGCGGCACAAGAAACCCUCAUUGUGGAUAUGGUUCGUGAGAACAACCUCAUCAGACUCCGGGAGAUCCGAGACAAAGUCAUUGCCGAUAAUGUCAACUUUGAGAGCAUUGAUGAUGUCAGCUUGGCCACAAUAGACUGAGUUCUCAGGCGCCAAAAGAUGCGGAUGAAACAGGUCUAUAGGGUUCCCUUUGAGCGCAACUCUGCGCGACACAAAGACCUAAAGUUACGAGUAUGUGCAAAGGAUAUUACAGUUGGACGUGAUGGCCAGACCUCAUGAGUACCUCUUCCUGGAUGAGGCUGGCUUCAACCUGCAGAAACGAAGGCAAAGAGGCCGUAACGUCAUUGGCCAAAGAGCCAUCACUGAGGUUCCUGGCCAACGGGGGGGUAAUAUUACUCUUUGUGCGGCCAUGGGUUUGGAGGGGCUUGUCCACCGGCAUGCUGUCCUUGGGUCUUACAACACCCAACGUCUCCUCACCUUCCUAGAGGAGCUAAAAGACAUCCUUCUGGACCGCCAACAACACCAUCCUGGGCCCGCACAUCACAUUUAUGUGAUCAUUUGGGACCAUGUACGCUUCCACAAAACAAACCAAAUCAGAGAGUGGUUCACCACCAACAGUAACCACUUUUUAAACGUCUGUCUGCCACCCUACUCCCCUUUGCUGAACCCUAUAGACGAGUUCUUCUCAUUGUGGAGAUGGAAGGUUUAUGACAGACAACCAUACACUAGAGAGAACCUCCUAAGGGCAAUGGAGCUGGCCUGUGUUGACAUCCCAGUGGAGUCCUUCCAAGGAUGGAUUCGCCAUUCCAGGGCGUUUUUCCCACGGUGCCUGGCAAGAGACAAUAUAGCCUGCGAUGUGGAUGAGGUGAUGUGGCCCAUUGCAGCUCAGUGACAUGAUGCCGCACAGUGAUUGUGGUGUGAAUAAAGUAAAUUAAAAAAACUUCACACCCUGAUCAUGUUUUCAAGAGUACUGUUGUGUGCAAUAGAUUCUGUUUUUGCAUUGAGUUGUGUUACAGUAGUGUACAUGCAGAAUUUACUAUAGAUUUAUACUCUUCAUAUGAAACUCAGAAAUCUAAAUGCCUAAUCCUCUGCAGAGAUCUAAGAACAUCCAUUACUGUAAAAUUUCUAAAAAUAUGCAUUGGCAGUUAUGAAACAAAGAACCUUCUCACAAAUUGAGCAUUGUGUUUUCAAUUGU